UACGAAGGGGGCUAGCGUUGCUCGGAAUGACUGGGCGUAAAGGGCGCGUAGGCGGUUCGUACAGUCAGACGUGAAAUUCCCGGGCUCAACCUGGGGGCUGCGUUUGAUACGUGCGGGCUUGAGUUCGGAAGAGGGUCGUGGAAUUCCCAGUGUAGAGGUGAAAUUCGCAGAUAUCGGGAGGAACACCAAUUGCGAAGGCAGCUCGCUGGGACGGUACUGACGCUGAGGCGCGAAAGCGUGGGGAGCAAACAGG
rnacentral:rRNA from 1 species